CAAUUUGAAGGCAUGUUCCGUCACAAAAGCAGUUUCCCUAAAUAAUCCUCAUCAUGGAAAUAUAAGAAUAAGUAUUCAUUCUGUAUUUGAUUGAAAAACUGCAUCACAGUCCCUUAGGAUGUUAGGUUUCCCUGGAGCACUUUUGUCAUGAGUGCAUUUCCCCCACAUGGAAUAAGAAAUCAGCACUUGCUGCUGCAGAUGACUAAGGAGUAUCAGGUCCUCUCCUAAGCAGAGCAUGAGCCAUUUAAUGUCCAAGUCUGAGAUGAAAAUUACAACUCAGAAUGUUUGAGUAGGUUGGAAAUUAGGCAAAAUGAGUUUGCUCAUCCCUAAUUGUGAGUGUCUCUGACGAAUCACAAUGGAACUUCAUGACGUACCUGGAACAAUGACGGUGUAUUUUGCCUGACAGCAGCAAAAUGGGAUAUAUAUAUAUAUAUACAUGCGUAUGGACAGAGAGCAGACGACACUGAGACACAAUUCCCUCCUGUUGAGAAAAACAUCUCUAUGUGCUAAGGAACACGUGUGAAACAUAAAUAAUCCUUUGUGAAAAGGUUUGAUUUAGUUUUAAGACAUGUAUGUCCUUUUGUAAAACUGUAAUUUUUCCCUUUAAAGUAACCUCCAGUACCUUUGUAUUUAUGCCAUACUUGUCAUCACUAAUAUCUGAGUACCCAGAGCCACAGUUAAAUGUACUUAGUUAAUUGAAUGCAUGUAGAAGGUGCCUACUGUGUGAAUAUGCACAAAGUGACAGUACAGUAAAUUAACACUAUUACAAUAAUAAAUAAAUAAAUAAAUAAGAACCACCUGGAAAGACCACCAGCCAGCCGAAAAAGGAAAUGGCAAAAGAGCAAGCCCCCGUAUCAUUAAGGCAAACCACUCACCAAACAAAAGAGAGCAACUCUCUAUUAAAACAAAAACCAGGAAAGACAAGGAGUUAAGAUACCAAAAAGGAAAUCAAAUCAAAACAAAGGAGAGGGUCCAAAUCAAAAAGAGUCGGGGUAAUCCUGAUUCAAUAACCAGGCCCUAGAAGCAACCCAUGAAGUAUCACAUGUGGGAGAGAGUUCUCCAACACAGGUCCCUGGCCCAAGAAAGACAACGGAGAGCUGACUCAUGCUUGCUGGCCAUAAAUAUACCCCAGGCCAUGCAAUGAUUAUUCAGGCAUCUAGGGCUUAGAUUAUUUAUGUAUUACACUAUCUCUUACCGCUUGACAUCUGCUUUCAAUUUCUAUUUCGAUUUAUGACUAGACGAGGGCUCCCUGGAAUGCAGCUGUGCAGUGGCGGGGAGGGAGUCAAGAGUCUUUCCAUCCUUGCGUAACCCACAUAAAGGUCGCCCAGAAUUGGUGUCCCUGUGCUUGAAGGAGUGCAAAGGCUGCUACUCAGUUGCUCACCCGAGCAGCAAGUCACUGGAAAGGAAGAGGGAACUAGCUGUAGCAAGUUGGUUGGAGAGUGAACUGGGGGGGGGGAAUUGUUCUGUACCCUAAAGGGGUAUCACAGAUUGUGCAACCAGGGACUGCUGGGAGGCAGAGGGUAGCACAAUCUGCCUCUAGCUACAUGCCCAAAUCCAGUCCAAUACAAGAACAGAAACCAGCACUGAAAUGAACUUGUUUGCCUACUGAGAGAACACUUCUUUCACUGAAAAUGAUACUGAGUUUGUAACUCUGAGUGAAGGAUAAUUUUAUUGUCGAGGACAAAACUCAAACCUCUCUUAGUGACGUAGAUUGCAACAUAAAAAUGACAACUGACCUGGUGCCGUUUCAAGGACAUCAGAACUGUUUGUUUGUUAGAGCUGUCAAGCUUGCAAAAAACCUAUGGCAUGUGAGUCCAGUAAGCUUUUCUUUUCUUUUUCCAGCUUAGCCAUGUUUGACUCGAGCCUGAGGUGAGCUCAGUUAGCACUAACUGGCUUUUGGAGAGGGCACGAUUCACAAUCAUUGUACUCAGCUAGCACAUAUGGGUGCAGUCAGAGGGCGUCUGUAGAAAUACAUGUAUAAAGCACAGAUUUUUUUGUGUGCGCGCAUCAGGAGGAAGACCCUGACAGUCCCUGCUCCAGAGAGUUUAUAAUCUACAUAGAUAAGACAGACAAAAAAGUGGGGUGAAAAGAAAUGCUAUUAUCACCAUGUUACAUGAUGGGGUAGCAAGACACAGAGAGACUAAGGGUAUGUCUACACUGUAAAAAAAAAAAAGGCCCACCGCAGCAAAUCUCAGAGUCUGGGUAAACCAACUUGGGCUUGUAGGGCCAAAAAUUGCAGUGUAGACAUUCAGGCACAGGCUGGAACCCAGGCUCUGAGACCAGCCUGAGUCAGUGUAAUUGUAAG